UCCAUCAUCGCUAAAGAAAAUGAGCGAUGGAACAAGCAGCUGUCUGGCCAUGUAAUGUACUAUCGUGACCCGCUAUCCUGGUUAAGAGAAUGCAUUUCCUUAUGGUAAGUUUACCUGCAGCUGCCAAACAAUGGAAUCCACCAUCAAUGUGCAGGAAGGGAAUGCAGCCCCUUACAGGGACCUUCAGCAUUUUUUUGAGUUCUGCUAAUGAAGAAGAAACUCCCAGCCUCACCUCAAGAACAUCAAACAUCAUGCAAUGAUACUUCCAUUGCCCAGACUGACACAUCACUAAGCCCCGAAAUGGAAAAACCAAAGCAGUUGGUUUACCUUAUGGCUGGGAAAGUAAUGUGGACAGAUCAUCAGGUUCAAGGAGUAGUUGCUUGAAGACAAAACAAAGGAGCCUGGGAACAAAGAUGCUAAAAUGGCAUCACAAUUAGAAUGUGGAGAUUAGCUAUCAACAUCUCAACAUCCCUUUGUGGAGAA